CCUUCGGGAACUCUGAGACAGGUGCUGCAUGGCUGUCGUCAGCUCGUGUUGUGAAAUGUUGGGUUAAGUCCCGCAACGAGCGCAACCCUUAUCCUUUGUUGCCAGCGGUCCGGCCGGGAACUCAAAGGAGACUGCCAGUGAUAAACUGGAGGAAGGUGGGGAUGACGUCAAGUCAUCAUGGCCCUUACGAGUAGGGCUACACACGUGCUACAAUGGCGCAUACAAAGAGAAGCGACCUCGCGAGAGCAAGCGGACCUCAUAAAGUGCGUCGUAGUCCGGAUUGGAGUCUGCAACUCGACUCCAUGAAGUCGGAAUCGCUAGUAAUCGUGGAUCAGAAUGCCACGGUGAAUACGUUCCCGGGCCUUGUACACACCGCCCGUCACACCAUGGGAGUGGGUUGCAAAAGAAGUAGGUAGCUUAACCUUCGGGAGGGCGCUUACCACUUUGUGAUUCAUGACUGGGGUGAAGUCGUAACAAGGUAAGCGUAGAUGA
rnacentral:rRNA from 1 species